rnacentral:rRNA from 1 species
CCUACGGGUGGCAGCAGUGGGGAAUCUUCCGCAAUGGGCGAAAGCCUGACGGAGCAACGCCGCGUGAUGGAAUGAAGGCCUGCGGGUUGUAAAGAUCUGUUGACAGGGACGAAUAAGCAAUGCGAAUAGUUUUGUGUAUGACGGUACCUGACGAAUAAGCCACGGCUAACUACGUGCCAGCAGCCGCGGUAAUACGUAGGUGGCAAGCGUUAUCCGGAUUUACUGGGGGUAAAGGGCGUGUAGGCGGGAGAGCAAGUCAGAUGUGAAAGUCCAGGGCUCAACCCUGGAACUGCAUUUGAAACUGUUUUUCUUGAGUGAUGGAGAGGCAGGCGGAAUUCCGUGUGUAGCGGUGAAAUGCGUAGAUAUACGGAGGAACACCAGUGGCGAAGGUGGCCUGCUGGACAUUAACUGACGCUGAGGCGCGAAAGCGUGGGGAGCAAACAGGAUUAGAUACCCCAGUAGUC